GUAAGGAAUAUUGGUCAAUGGGGGCAACCCUGAACCAGCCAUGCCGCGUGAAGGAUGAAGGCGUUAUGCGUUGUAAACUUCUUUUGUAUGGGAAGAAUGACAGGGAUUUAUCCUUGGAGAGACGGUACCAUACGAAUAAGCACCGGCUAACUCCGUGCCAGCAGCCGCGGUAAUACGAAGGGUGCAAGCGUUAAUCGGAAUUACUGGGCGUAAAGCGCGCGUAGGUGGUUUUGUAAGUUGGAGGUGAAAUCCCCGGGCUCAACCUGGGAACUGCCUCCAAAACUGCAUGACUAGAGUACGGUAGAGGGUAGUGGAAUUUCCUGUGUAGCGGUGAAAUGCGUAGAUAUAGGAAGGAACACCAGUGGCGAAGGCGACUACCUGGACUGAUACUGACACUGAGGUGCGAAAGCGUGGGGAGCAAACAGGAUUAGAAACCCUGGUAGUCC
rnacentral:rRNA from 1 species